CCUGUAUAUAACUCAGGGUUCUAUCAAUCGAUUUUCUCGUACUCAAGCUCUCAGUUCCAGGUACUCCUCUUUGAAGGGAAAGGAGUCGGCAUGAUCGCAACGCAUCACACUAUAUUUUUCCGCACAUGAGAUCUCUGGGAGUUAUACUCCGAUAUUGUUUUACCAUGACAUAUUUUGACUAUUAAUACAUUGGUUUUUAUA